rnacentral:lncRNA from 1 species
CAGAAUCUGAGCAGAAUUUAGCUUAAGUUCUUCAAUUUGCCCUUGAAGUUCUUCAACCUGUUUCUUGAGCUCUUUGUUCUGCUGCUCCAGCUCUUCAACCUGUUUUCGGAGUUGUUCGUUGGUCUCUUGAGCAUGGAGAAGGUCGUCAGUAACCUUCUUGGAUUCCGUUUGAGCUUGGGCCAACUCGGCAGCCAUCUUUCCUUUCUCCUUGUUUGCCUCGGCGAGAUCAGCCAUGGCGUCGUCCCUCGCUUUUUCUACUUGCCCAAGUAGCUUCUCGCGGUCGAUCGACCUCUGCUCCAGUUUUUG